GCUCCACGAAGUUAGCGAAGUCACUAGAAAGUAGAAAACAGCAGAGUUCCUCACCAAGUAGAAAACUGCAACCACCAAAAAAAAAAAAAAAAAAAAAAAAACCUCCCACAAAAAAAUGGCAGCGGCAAUGGGAGCUUGCCUGAAUCAUGUGUCCAGGGAAUCCACUGACAUUAAACGCCUUGCUCAGUUCUACAUUGAGGUUGGUUCUCUUUUCCCACAAUCAUUUUAAUCAUACUUUUCCCAACUCUAUCACUAUAUAAAAUACGUCUGUGUUUUUUAUAUUUCUUUUUGAUUUAUGACAAAAACACCAAUUGAAAUGGAAGGUGUUUGUUUUCGAAUUGUGGGUUUUAAGUUUUGUAUUCUUUAAGAUUCAGUACUUUGUAUUUUGGAUUUCUCUAUUUAAUUUAGGGUUCCGUGAUAAGAGGUAUAGUCUAUUCUGUUAUAACUUGACUAUUGUUUUCAUAGUUUAGGGUUGUGAAAUUUGAUGUUUAACACGUCUCAUAAAUGGUGGCUUGCUUGAAAAUUCCAAUCUUUGCCCAUUUAUUUUUUCAAGCUUUGAUAUCGUACAGUCUCUUGAUUACCAUCUUAAAAAUAAACAUUUUUAACAGGAUAGUCCGAGAAAUUGAUUUGUUUUUGUCCAAGGCGGUAAUUUUCCAUUAACAUUCUCUUCAUAUUUUUAUGGGGAAAAAAAUAGAAACUGAAACAAAAUACGAUUUUGAAUCGUGGGUUUUUACAGGUAUUUGGUUUUGAGCAAGUGAAGAGUCCAGAAUUUGAAUUUGAAUUUGAUUUUAUAUGGUUGAAGUUGGGUUCAUCCUUUUAUCUUCACCUCAUAGAGAGGGAUCCCAAUACAAAACUUCCCGAAGGACCAUGGAGUGCCACAUCAGCAUUGGCAGACCCCAAGAAUCUCCCCAGAGGUCACCAUAUCUGCUUCUCUGUGUCCAAUUUCGACUCCUUUAUUCAGAGCCUUAAGGUGCGGUUAUUAUCGAUAAACAUACUCGACAAUUAUGAUUAUAUAUAUCCCUGAUGCAAUCAAUUCUUAUUUAUGAAUAGAGACAUCGAUGUUAGAUUUGGAUUCAGGCAAUUAGCAUUGUCUGGUAUAAUUUAUAGAAGUAUAGUCAAGAUAUAGAAUAAGAAAUUUAUUUGGAUUAAAUUAGGACGGGAUUGUUAUUUUGGUAAUAUGAGUAUUUCGGCUUUAUUUUUCUGGUGAAUGCAACAGAGGUUAGCUGUCCACCAUUAGAAAUCUAGUCACUUUAUACUUGACUAUGUAUUCUGAAUUCGAAUGGUCGUUUUUGAACUCUUCCGGGCUAUGGACAUUUUACAAGUUAAUGUGUUGCCUCAGAUUGUCAGAAUUUGUGUUUGAAGUAAGAAAAUGAGUGCUUUAAUUUAGGAUCAUGCUGAAGUUUUGUUGGCACUUGAGAGUUUAGGCUAUUCAGGCUCAUGUAUGGAACAGUUCAGUGUAACUUUUCGUCACGUUUCUUUGGUUUGAAUUUGGAAACAAUCCAGUGAGAACUAAAUCCUCAAAAUCAACUGCCUUAAGAUUUUCAACCACCUCUCUUCAAGUAGGUAACUUUCACGGUACUUUGUUGGUAGUCAAGAAGGCCUAGUUAGUUAGGUGUCUUGUCUGAAUUUGAUUAUCGGCAAAUCCUUGCUAAACCACACUUGCACAGAAAUUUGAGAGAGAGAGAGAGUUUCUUCUUAUGCUUGGACUUCCAACAUAGAUAGAUCCUUCACUCAGUCAAUUUUAGAUGGAGUUGGCAUUUGGGGCUUAGUUCAUAUGCAUGUCAGCUGUCUUUAAGUUUGAAACUCUGCUCUUUCUUAAUGGAUGGAAGCCUUCAGAUCUGAAAAGUGCAUAAUUUACAGUAAUGUAUGCUUUUGCCUUGGUGUAAAGAAGAUUCAUACGGAACAUUGUUUUGUAUAUUGCGUUCUUCCGGUUUAGUUUACCAGAGUGUUUUGAAACCUUCUAGUUUCUGUAAUAAUGUAUACAGUUCAAGCUGUAGCCAUGCCAGAUGAGAAGCUAGAAACUCCAGCAACAUUACCUUCCUUGGACAUAUAGAAACUCCAGCAACAUUACCUUCCUUGGACAUACUCCAGCUAAAUCCAUUGCUCUUACUGCAUUAUCGUCCUUCAAAUAUACAAUUAUUCACCUCCUUUUGGAUGAUGUGUAUGAUGAAGGUCUUUAUGAUUUAGAAUUUAUAGUUACAUCUUCAUAAUUUUAAUAUCCUUGGGGCUAGUCAGGAUGAAGAAUAUCAUAGAACUUUCACAAUUUACAUCAUAGGCAAGUCCAAAGAGACUGCUUGGUUUAAUAAUGCUGCAGCUUGUUUGAUGUUGUGAAAUUGCCCCAACUGAAUUUCGAGAACUUUCAAAAUUUUCCCCUCCAUGAUUUCAGUUAAUUUUUCCUUCGAAUUUGUAGCUUAAUCAUCAACUUCUUGUGGAGAAAUUGAAACUUUACUCAAUGGUGCUGUGGAAAUUAUGAAACAAAGAAUAUCAAAGAAAGUGACGAAGCUCAAUGUGUAACGACUCGGCCUCUAUAGCCAAGCCAUUAACUUAUGUACUGUCCGCUAUGGAAGAGUCCGAAUCCAUCUUAUUCCAUCACGGAUUUCUGUCAAGUCCCCAUUAUUUGAACCUUUGACAUUUCCUUUAAAAUAGACUUAAGUUGAAUCUUGGUAACAAUUGAACAAUUUCCCUUGCAUUUUUUGUAACCACCCAGGCCUCAUUCCCAAAGGCACUAGGAUUCAACUUAAAUCUAUUUUAAGGGAAAUGUUAUGAGUUCGAAUCUUAGAGAUGCUACAGAAUGGGUAAGAUGGACUUAGGCUCUCCGAAAGUGAAUAGUACGUAAGUUAACGGUUUGGAUACAGAGGUCGGAUCGUUACACAAAGUCUUUUGUCGGAAAUAAUGAACAACCCCCAAACAGUGAAGCAGUCUUAUGUUUUACUCAACUGCAAAAUAAAGCAAGCAGCAGAAUAAAAAUAGCCCUGCAAAAUAAAAUUAAACCCAGCAGCAAGUUGCAUGGCCCAAUUCCUGCGUGGUGAUUAAUUGUUUGCCUUCUGGUGUUUGCCUCAUGUGUAAUGAACCUAUGCCUCUGUAUCUGCAUCACUCAACCACCUCUGUCCAGUGCCCUUCUUUCACUAUAACAUCUUCUCUUGAGUUCUGCUUUACUGAGCUUGGAGAAAACACAUCUGCUGUUACAAGUGUUGUUAGCACAAGAGUUGAGGCCACAAGAUUAUCAUUAUAUCUCUAUCUCUAAAUCUUCGAAUUGGUGAGGAAGUAUAUAUAUACCAAAAUGGGGGUGUUUUUGGGUGAAAAGAUAUCUAAGAACUUGAAAUAUGCCCACAUAGCAUGUAGAUUCUGAACACAUUACAUGCAACACGUGCUUACGACUGUAAAACCGGUCCAUCUGCAAGUCAGCCAUCAUCAAUGUCCAGUUGGUCGAUUCUCGGGCUGGAGACUACUCUCUCCAUUCCAAGUCCCACUGCUCACUCCUACAGCCAAUACCAAUAUACCAUCCAACUCCCAUUUCUGAGUAUCAAACAAAAUCCCUUGUCCCAGCGGUACAACCACUGGCGCCAUUUUUGGUAGAGUAUUAAGAAGUCUCUAUCUCCCAAAUAUGAUGCCACUGUUCGACUAUCCCUGACCCGGUUGUCACUUUUCCCUUGAUCCGAGUGCAAAAAUCUGCUUCACUCACUAGAGUCGUUGGUUCUAAUUCCUUUGUCACUGGUUCCUCUUGCUACUUCCAUGAACGAGGCUUAGUUUGUUGUUGCUAUUUAUAUAAAUUGAAAAACAAGCUGAGGGCUUCUUGGGGGGAAAUCAAAGAAAGGGAGUUCCUGUAGGAAAAAGAGCAGGAUGAAAAAGAGCUAAACACGAGUUCACAUUUUCCAUUCUAGUUUUAUUAAGAUUUGCUUCAUCUUUCCUAGCAGGAAAAAGGAAUUGAGGUAUAUGAGAGGGCACACCCAGAUGGAAAGACCAAGCAAGCAUUUUUCUUUGAUCCAGAUGGUAUGUUUUCCUUUACUGUAUUGGUUCUAGACUGUCGUAGCCCAAGAAACAGAUUUGAUUGUAUUCAAUGUCCAAAAACAUUAGAAUCACGGUUUUAAUUUGUUCCAUUGAAUUAUUGCUCUGCAGGGAAUGGACUGGAGGUCUCUAGCCAGAGCUCCGUUCAAUAAAUUUCGUGCCCGUCUAAAUGCUGGAUAUACAUGCUUGUCUGUGUGGUGUAAUGCAACCAUUAAAGCCCAUUGGUUGUUACGUACUACAUCUUGAAUGGCAAACUACUCUAUUUAGGGGUAUAUGAAUACCUAUUUUGGUGCCUUUUGGUCAUCAAAUUUGCUGUACCAUAGUUUAUGUUCAGGAAUGAAAUAUGUUGUAAUAAAUGGCCAUGGUUAAUCUAUAGUUAUUGUAGUAUGAAAUUUAUUGAGACGCAUUGGUAAGGUGGAGUAUUAAAUAAGAAGGAAGUGUUAAAAAUUUCAUU
rnacentral:lncRNA from 1 species